rnacentral:rRNA from 1 species
AGCGUGGAGACAGGUGGUGCAUGGCUGUCGUCAGCUCGUGUCGUGAGAUGUUGGGUUAAGUCCCGCAACGAGCGCAACCCUCACCCCUUGUUGCCAUCAGGUCAUGCUGGGCACUCUAGGGGAACUGCCCCGGUCAACGGGGAGGAAGGCGGGGAUGACGUCAAGUCAUCAUGCCCCUUAUGUCCUGGGCUACACACGUGCUACAAUGGCCGGUACAAAGGGAUGCCACACCGCGAGGUAGAGCUAAACCCAAAAAGCCGGUCUAAGUUCAGAUUGGAGUCUGCAACUCGACUCCAUGAAGGAGGAAUCGCUAGUAAUCGCGUAUCAGCACGACGCGGUGAAUACGUUCCCGGGCCUUGUACACACCGCCCGUCACACCACGAAAGCCAGCUGUACUCGAAGUCGCUGAG